rnacentral:rRNA from 1 species
AGAGUUUGAUCCUGGCUCAGGAUGAACGCUAGCGGCAGGCUUAACACAUGCAAGUCGAGGGGUAACAUUGGUGCUUGCAUCAGAUGACGACCGGCGCACGGGUGCGUAACGCGUAUACAAUUUACCUUAUACUGGAGGAUAGCCCUGAGAAAUUGGGAUUAAUACUCCAUAGUAUGUUAAAGUCACCUGAUUUAAACAUUAAAGCUCCGGCGGUAUAAGAUGAGUAUGCGUCCUAUUAGUUAGUUGGUAAGGUAACGGCUUACCAAGGCUACGAUAGGUAGGGGUCCUGAGAGGGAGAUCCCCCACACUGGUACUGAGACACGGACCAGACUCCUACGGGAGGCAGCAGUGAGGAAUAUUGGGCAAUGGAGGCAACUCUGACCCAGCCAUGCCGCGUGAAGGAUGACGGCCCUAUGGGUUGUAAACUUCUUUUAUAGAGGAAGAAACUUAUCUACGUGUAGAUAACUGACGGUACUCUACGAAUAAGGACCGGCUAACUCCGUGCCAGCAGCCGCGGUAAUACGGAGGGUCCAAGCGUUAUCCGGAAUCAUUGGGUUUAAAGGGUUCGUAGGCGGACAAUUAAGUCAGAGGUGAAAUCCCACAGCUCAACUGUGGAACUGCCUUUGAUACUGGUUGUCUUGAGUUAUAGUGAAGUGGAUAGAAUAUGUAGUGUAGCGGUGAAAUGCAUAGAUAU